rnacentral:rRNA from 1 species
GACGGGGGGGGCAAGUGUUCUUCGGAAUGACUGGGCGUAAAGGGCGCGUAGGCGGCUUGGCAAGUCGGGUGUGAAAGCCCGGGGCUCAACCCCGGAACGGCAUCCGAUACUGCCUGGCUUGAGACCGGGAGAGGAGGGUGGAAUACCCAGUGUAGAGGUGAAAUUCGUAGAUAUUGGGUGGAACACCGGUGGCGAAAGCGGCUCUCUGGCCCGGAUCUGACGCUGAGGCGCGAAAGCGUGGGGAGCAAACAGG